rnacentral:tRNA from 1 species
GCAGAUGUAGCUCAGUGGUAGAGCACUUGCCUAGCAUGUCAAAAGCCCUGGGUUCCAUUCCCAAUACUGUA